rnacentral:lncRNA from 1 species
UUCUUCUUUUUUUUUCCACUUAUCUUGCCUGACAAAAAAAUACCCAAAUAAGAAAAACACAAAGUAGAGAUUAAAAGGCUAAUCUACUAUAUUCGGGUCGAGCUGCAACAAGGAAAUACUAUGUGAACUGACAAAGAAAUAUGCUACGAAUCCUUAUUAAAAAACUAAUAAACAAUAAAGGAAGGUUCUCAGAUUAUUAUAAUAAAAACAAAGUAUCUUUACUUUUCCUAUUGUGUGUGCUUGCAGAUCUGGAAGAAACCAGAAAUAUUUUUGACCCAUUACUCAAAAAGAAAAACACCU